rnacentral:rRNA from 1 species
AAUACGUUCCGGGCCUUGUACACACCGCCCGUCACACCACGAAAGUCGGCAACACCCGAAGCCGGUGGCCCAACCCUUUUGGGAGGGAGCCGUCGAAGGUGGGGUUGGCGAUUGGGGUG